UACAGAUAUAGCUCAGUUUGCCAUUUUUGUUAGAGUUUGUGAUAACAAAUAUAAUGUCACUGAAGAAAUGGCUUCUUUAGUGACAUUAAAAGACAAAACUAAAUCUCUUUAUUUGUAUGAAGCAGUGAAAACAACACUGAAGCGAUUCUCUUUAUCCUUUGACAGCGUCUCUGGGUCUUUAAUGUCCCUUCCCACCCAAGCCAUUCCACAAUUCUAUGUUUCCAUGAUGUAAAUGUGAAAAGGCCAGCCAUGGUCUCCAGCUGCUCUAGAUGACUGUGAAUCCUCACCAUGGUGACAGCGCCUGUAGCAAGCCCAGGGGAAACGUGGCCCUUGCGGUAGAACAGGUCUGCCCAACAGGAUGUGCUCCCUGUGGUUCUGCCUGAGUAGCCUGGCACUCACCCACCAAGGGGUGCCAUGAGCACCCACUCCUCAUGGGGAGCCCCAGCCAGCAUCCUGGAGACAUGAAGUCACAAUGCCCCGCCUUGUGCCGUAAGGUCACAAUGCUCAGUGUGUGCCCCAGGCAUGCUCUGUGCCUGUCCCAGCAGCAGCACUUGCUGUGGCUGCAGCGGUGGUGGUGGCAGCAUGGCACAAGUGUGGGGGGCCAUGGCUCCCACACGCCUUGCCCUCCUCCUUCUACUGAUGGCCAUGUGUUCCCAGGAGACUUGUGCUGCUCCAUGGCAAGCACAAGGAGCAGAUGAUGACAUUGGUGCUCCUUAUCCAGAUGAUUGGAUAGAGACUGCUUUUGCGCCUCAGGGGACACCCAGAGGCCCCCUUGGUGGAUUACCAGAGCUGCGUCCUGUCCCUGAGCCUGGGGUGGAUGCCAGAGGUGCGGGUGGAGUUGAAUGGGAUCCAGCUUCCCAGCAGGGCUCCAGGACAGAAGCCCCAGCAACUCGUAUGGGUCCUGAGAGACGGAGAGAGACACGGGAAAGAGGAAAAUAUCCGCAGACGCUGUCCCAUAUGCUAAUGAAAAUCAUGAAGGACAAGGCAGCACGUGGUGGGUGUAUUUCUGUCUGUUCCCUGAAAGAUUUGGGAAGCUGAGUUUCUAGAAAUAUACGUGGAAAAACUGUAGCGUGCACAGCAGGAAAGGACAGAUCAGAGCCCUGCUGUGGUGAUGCCUCUGUGUCUGAACUGGCUUGCAGCUUUUUGCUGCUCUCUUUGAAGAAGGAAGGAAUUUAGCAUCAUCUUGCAACUUGCCAGAAUUGCACAAGGUGCACCGUAAACAAGAAGCUUGCUUGCAACCUGCUGGUCUCCCAGCAGGACAGGUCUUGCUGUCUGCUUUCGCAAGCUGGAAAGUGUGUAGCACUUCAGUUUGUCUCACAGAAUGGCAUGCUGUUUGGACUAGGAAUGAAGUGCACCGCAAAAAGCCCAGGCUUUGUUCCUAAACUUUACUGAUGUCUCUUGAGAACUGGUGCCUCCUGAAGAUACCGUCUUCCUGAUGAGAAGCAGUUACUUACAGCCCCACUCUCUUACCUCCUUUCUAAAGAGAGAGACGGAGAGCCUGUGCAUGGGUAUGCAUUUCAGCAAGGCAGCCGUCACACACUGCCCGUCCCUCCAGGAGAAACAGAGGCCACGCACACAACUGAUGCUCCAGGUAAAGGCCGCUCGUAGAGCUCCAUGACUGUGGUUAGAAGUUGCUUCCCUCACACUGCACCCAGUUCCCAGGGACUUAGGAACUUUCUCCUUUUGGGAACAAGGCCACCAGAACCACAUUCAGCAGAUGGGGAGAGGAAAUAGGACCCUCCAACGUAGCUCCCUCCCACAGUCCCUGCAUUCCAGAGCUUGCUGUGCCUCCCUUGAGCCACCAGGCACACCAGCAGCCCAGAGCAGGAUCCUUCCUGUGGCGGUUCUUGUCCAUGUCACUCAAAGCAGCAAUUAGUUAAACAGAUCCACAUGCUCUCCUUCUGCUCUAAUGAAUUUUGUUUAGUCAGACAACAUAUCCCAAAGGGUCACAGUGUGCCUGCCUGCAGCAGCACUAGUGAGCCUCAAAAGGCGAGGAUGUGCGAGUGCAAAAGGAAUCUUAGAGCGUGAUGGAGAAGAAGGAGCAAAUCCAUGGCCCAGGAAGAUCUGGACUGUGGCAGAGCCAGAGUGUAAACAAAGCUGAGAGGCAAAAAAGAGGCUCCAGAGUGCCUUGAUGCGCAGUGCCUUUGGAAGUUCUCUUUGUUUCCCCAGGAAUCGGGGAAGCAUUGCAGCACGAGAAUUUUCACUUGUUUCAGGAGGCCAAGAAAAUGGAAAGGAACAUUUUGUGGCAAUGUCAGACCUCCUGUGAGAUUGCCAGUAGGGCCAUGAGAUACAGCAGUGACCACAUUGUUCCUCCAGGCGUGGAUGGUGAAGGAAAUGCAAAUGCCAUAGAAGAUAUACAGAAGUACUGCCUGGCACUUGCUGCAGCUUUCCUGGUUUCCAUGCUGGUAGCGAUGAUUACGUGCUGUCUUCUUAUCCAGCAACGGUGGCAGAGAAACCAGCACCUCGCUGCAGCUGCCGGAGCCCAGCCCGAUGCCCGUGCCCACACCUCGCACUUGGACGGAUGGCCUGCUUUCUUCAAGGCGCCCGACAAACAGACACGGUUCCAACGGCGAACACCUGUGCCGGGACGACCUGCCCACUGGCAGCAGGGCACCACCAGAGCGGCCCCUGCCAGGCCAGAUAGCUGCCGGGCUCAGCUGCCCCUGCCUCGGCCCUCACAGCCCACCAACCCAGGCUCCGUGGCACCCAGGAUGUGCAACAGGCCCAGCAGCCCCCAGCUGCCCCAGGCAUCAAUACCGCCCCCCCGUCCCCCUCCACCCUCUUUCAGGGAGCGGGAGGAACUCGCCCUGGUUGGAGGCUUGUGGUCAUCGGCCGGCACCCAAACAAAGGCUCCUUGGCAGAUGAGUGACAGGCCCAGCUGCCCCCGGGCAUCAACACCACCACCCCGUCCCCCUCCACCAUCCUUCAGGGGAUAGGAACAGUUCCCCCAGGCUGUAGGCUUGACAGCUCUGUCCUUCAGGAGGUUGGAGCAGGCCACCCAAGGUGUCGGUUUGCGGGCAUCAUCCAACACCCAGAAUACCACUGCCAGGGGGAAGUAUGACAGGCCCAGCAGCCCCCAGCCCUGGACAGCAGCCACCAGACAGCAGGCACCAUCCUGCUCUGACUAGGAGGCAGUAAUUUGCUCUGCAAUAGGAACCAAGCAAGAACUAUUAGCACAUUUUCUUCCUCCUCUAUUUCAUUUCACUUUGUGGGCUAGAAUGAAAAUCUGGAAGUUGAGAGAGAAGGGAUGAAGACAGUGCUGUAAACCUCGUAUGUCUGCCACUGCUAUCACUCUGUGAUAAAGCACUAGCUUUAUCAUAGAGUGAUAGCUCUCCAGCACCUGCCCGAGGUCACUGAUUUCUCAGGAUCCUCCAAGGGGUGCAACAUUCCUGUGUUUCCUCUCAACUCUCAGCACUGCUACACUCUUCAAGAGCCAGGGCCACAAAGAAAGCAGCUGUCAGCUGUAAAAGCAUCCCAGUACUCUGCAAGAGGACAGAGUGCCCCUGUUCUGACAGCUUCCCUCAGCAGCCCGCUACUGAAAUGGUUUGUGGGGUUCCUUUGAGCAAGCUGCUAAGGACAGAGGUAGUCACAUCAGCUGCCUGUACUUUAACUGGAAGAUGUUUUUAUGUUUAUCACUGGUCAACACAAUAGAGGGUUCUUUAACAUCUUUAUUACACCUUCUUAACUGUGUAUAACUGUUUUCUAAAAAAAAAUUCUCAGCACUACAAAUGAUAAUAUUCAAAACAUCUAUAACUAUAUAGAACAUAUAUGUUCCAAAAUAAAUAAAUAUUUUUUUUAAAAAAGAAACAAAAAAACACCCCAAGAAACUGCUUCCUUCAAAAGCAUACUCUGACGAGAAGAAAACAGCAAUAUUAAGCCUGCCAUCAUGGUGUCAUUGGCAUCAGGGUUCAAACUAAGGCAGCCAGCUGAGCAGGGAGGAACACCUAUUAGACGCUGCUCAGUGACGGCACCCAGAAUGAAGCAGCAAGGAUGUUACGUGCAGGAGACUACUACUUGCAGUUAUUACCUUCUGUCUUAGUAGCAACACUACUCAAAAUCAAACAUUUCUAAUCAGGCCAAGAUCUUCUUGAAGCAGCAGUUUGUUCAUCAUUGCAAUAAAGGGUACACACCUCCUACUGACAAGGGGGAAACUGCACAACCAGUGAAAUCCACUCUGUUAUAUAGCCUGGGUCCGACACAGGUAAUAUCUCUCCUGGCACUCAUUGGUUGAGCAUCUCAGUCUCACAAUCUUCCUGACGCUGUUGCUAUGAUAUAAGGUCUGUUACCAACAUGUUGUUUUUAGGGAUGUUCUUUACUUUUCUAUGAACACAGGAGGACAGUGCUUCCAAAAGUUAGCAUAUUGGUUCUGUCCUGUGCUAGGCUCUCCCCACCCUGCACCUUUACCUUUCUGUGUACCUGUGCCAAUUCUACUGUGGUUCGAACACCCCAGUCUCAUCUUCACUCUAUUCAGCAGCUUCCUUUAUGAAAAACAACUUAUCCUCCACUACACACAGAAACACUGGAAAUUUCCACUGCAAAAACACAAUCUACCUUUCACACAAGGCAGCAGGUAUGGAGAGAAUGGCUGAGGCGGCAAGUAAGCACAGCAAGGUAUGCAAAGGUGGCAGGAAGGCAAUGUGGGGCAUGUCACUGCAUCAGGUAGGCGCUGCAAAGCAUGCAAAGGUGCCAGGUAGAUGCUGUGAGGCAAGCCAUGGUAGCAGGAAGAUGCUGCGAGGCAAACCAUGGCGGCAGGGACCUUCUGCAGUGUGUGCAAAGGCAACAGAUAGAUAAGGUGAGGCAAGCCAAGGCAGCAGGUAAACACUGAGAAGUGUGCAAGGGCAGCAGGAAUGCACUGCAAGGUGUGCAAUAGUAACAGGUAGGCGUUGUGAGGCAUGCAGGCCAGCUCUGGGCACCAGACCUGAGGCCUUAAAACACAGCUAGCGAGACUGGCACCAGCCCAUGAGCCUGAAGCCACAGCCACAGCCUGAGGGGCCAACACCAGGCCUGAGGCCUAAAGCCACAGGCAGACAGGCCUGCACUGGCCCCGAGGCCUAAAGCCCAAGCCACAGCCCAAGGUCAGCACCAGCUUCAGGCCUAUAUCAACAGACACAGUGCAAGAGACCAGCAUGGGUCCUGGGCCUCAAGCUAGAACUCGAGAGGUUGGCACAGGCCCCGAGGACUGAAGCCACAGCCAGAGAGGCCAGCACCAGCCCUGGGGCCUAAAGCCACAGCCGUAGCCAGACAGGCUGGCACCAGCGCUGGGGCCAAAUGCCAAAGCAAGAGAAGCUUUGGCAUGGUCCAGGGACUUAAAUCCACAGACUGACAGGCCAGCCACGCCCCUGGGGCUUAAUGCCACAGCUGCAGCCUGAGAGGCCAGCACUGGCUCCAGGACCUAAAGCCACAGCCCGAGAGGCCGGCACCAGACCUGGGGACUAAAGCCACAGCCUCAGAGAGGCUGGCACUGGCCAUGAGGCCUGAAGCCACAAUCACAGCCAGAGAAGCCAGCACUGGCCCUGGGACCCAAAGCCACAGCCUUGAGAGGCUGACGUCAGCCCCGGGGCCUAAAGCCAUAACCAGAGAUGCUGGCACCGGCCUCAGGGCAUACAGAUGUGCAUUCCUGUGGUUUUCUACUGGUUCCUAUGGGACUCCAUUGACCACUAUGAGGCCAUACUGGUCUUUGCUGGUUUUUAUUGGUCUGCUUUCAGACCAUC